UUGGAGGGCAAGUCUGGUGCCAGCAGCCGCGGUAAUUCCAGCUCCAAUAGCGUAUAUUAAAGUUGUUGCAGUUAAAAAGCUCGUAGUUGAAUUUCGGGAUCAGUACGCCGGUCGUGCCUUCGGUAUGCACUGGUGUCACUGGUUUCUCCCUUCUGAAGAACCAUCAUGCCAUUCAGUUGGUGUGGCGGGGAAUCAGGACUGUUACUUUGAAAAAAUUAGAGUGUUUAAAGCAGGCUCGCGCAUGAAUACAUUAGCAUGGAAUAAUGAAAUAGGACGUUUGACCCUAUUUUGUUGGUUUCUAGGAUCGACGUAAUGAUUAAUAGGGAUAGUUGGGGGCAUUAGUAUUCAAUUGUCAGAGGUGAAAUUCUUGGAUUUAUUGAAGGCUAACUACUGCGAAAGCAUUUGCCAAGGAUGUUUUCAUUAAUCAAGAACGGAAGUUUGGGGAUCGAAGACGAUCAGAUACCGUCGUAGUCGUAACCAUAAACUAUGCCGACUAGGGAUCGGAUGAUGUUAAUUUUUUAAUGACUCAUUCGGCGCCUUACGGGAAAC
rnacentral:rRNA from 1 species